rnacentral:rRNA from 1 species
ACGGGUGAGUAAUGUCUGGGAAACUGCCCGAUGGAGGGGGAUAAUUACUGGAAACGGUAGCUAAUACCGCAUAACGUCUUCGGACCAAAGUGGGGGACCUUCGGGCCUCACACCAUCGGAUGUGCCCAGAUGGGAUUAGCUAGUAGGUGGGGUAACGGCUCACCUAGGCGACGAUCCCUAGCUGGUCUGAGAGGAUGACCAGCCACACUGGAACUGAGACACGGUCCAGACUCCUACGGGAGGCAGCAGUGGGGAAUAUUGCACAAUGGGCGCAAGCCUGAUGCAGCCAUGCCGCGUGUAUGAAGAAGGCCUUCGGGUUGUAAAGUACUUUCAGCGGGGAGGAAGGCGAUGUGGUUAAUAACCGCGUCGAUUGACGUUACCCGCAGAAGAAGCACCGGCUAACUCCGUGCCAGCAGCCGCGGUAAUACGGAGGGUGCAAGCGUUAAUCGGAAUUACUGGGCGUAAAGCGCACGCAGGCGGUCUGUCAAGUCGGAUGUGAAAUCCCCGGGCUUAACCUGGGAACUGCAUUCGAAACUGGCAGGCUUGAGUCUCGUAGAGGGGGGUAGAAUUCCAGGUGUAG